AUGCCCACCACGCUGGAAAUCGCCUCCGGCGGCGGGGCUGCUCCAAUCACCAAGUUAAGGUCACCACUACACUUCUCUCUCAACACUCUCUUCAAACCUACUCUCCUUCUCAGAAACCCACACCCAUCUCUUCAAAUGAUUAGAGCAUUACAAAACCCUAACCCAAUCGAAUCAAAAUUAAAUGCUCAUGAUGUGCUGAAUGGGAUGUCAAGCUUAGGGCUAUGA